rnacentral:snRNA from 1 species
GCCUUUGCGCAGUGGCAGUAGGGCAGCCAAUGGGGUGUGUCCGAGGCGCCGUUAUUGCUAAUUGAAAACCUUUCCCAAUACCCCGCCAUCCCCGCCAUGACGACCUGAGAUAUAGUCAGCGUUGGCAAUUUUUGACAGUCUCUACAGAGA